rnacentral:rRNA from 1 species
CGCUGGCGGCGUGCUUAACACAUGCAAGUCGAACGGUGAAGGGAAGCUUGCUUCCCGGAUCAGUGGCGAACGGGUGAGUAACACGUGGGCAAUCUGCCCCAGACUUUGGGAUAACUACUCGAAAGAGUAGCUAAUACCGAAUAUUCAGCCUUGCAGGCAUCUGCGAGGCUGGAAAGUUUCUCGGUCUGGGAUGAGCCCGCGGCCUAUCAGCUAGUUGGUGAGGUAAUGGCUCACCAAGGCGACGACGGGUAGCCGGCCUGAGAGGGCGACCGGCCACACUGGGACUGAGACACGGCCCAGACUCCUACGGGAGGCAGCAGUGGGGAAUAUUGCGCAAUGGGCGAAAGCCUGACGCAGCAACGCCGCGUGCGGGAUGAAGGCCUUCGGGUUGUAAACCGCUUUCAGCAGGGAAGAAGCGAAAGUGACGGUACCUGCAGAAGAAGCACCGGCUAACUACGUG